rnacentral:rRNA from 1 species
GUCUACGGCCAUACCACCCUGAACAAGCUCGAUCCUGUCUGAUCUCGGAAGCUAAGCAGGGUCGGGCCUGGUUAGUACUUGGAUGGGAGAGACUACCUAAGAAGACCAGGUGCUAUAGGCA